rnacentral:misc_RNA from 1 species
AAAAAAAAGGAAAAAAAAAAAGAAGAAAAACUCUUCCCUUUUAGCAUACAGCUUUUGAGUUUAGUAGUUUGGGAGGGGCAUCUCAGGUAAGUGAAGUGGAUUGUUAUAGCCAAUGAAUGGUGCUCCAUGAAGGUUGAAUAAACUAGAAGAUAAGUCUGUCCUUUGAAUCUUUCACCAGACCAGCUCUAACAAAGAACCUUAAGAGACAUUCUUAUUUCACACAGUUUAGGAACCAUUAGUUAUGGUUCCUAAACCACUGAUUCAAGUUUACUGAAAUCAUAAACUUGAAUCAAAUUGUCAUAGGAUAGUUUGAGAGACUGGUCAUGAAUCACUAGUUUCCUUUUGAGACUUAGUUUAUAGUUCAAAAGGCGGUUUAAAACAAUUUGGAAGGUGGUUAAAUGACGAUUGGAGUGAUUGG